rnacentral:lncRNA from 13 species
AUGUUUGCUUUCUUGCUGUGUCCUCACAUGGAAAAAAGAGAGGGAGAAUUUGCUGGCAUUCCUUCUUGUAAGGCCACUAACUCCAUUCACGAGGUUCCCACCCUCAUGACCUCAUCUGAACCUAAUAACCGCCGAGGGCUCAAUUUCCAAAUACCAGCAACCACAUGUGUGAGCUUAGAAGAGGAUCCUUCCGCAGGUGACAUUGACUAUUGCUAAGACAGCUGGAACUUCCAAAAUGACCUCACUCAUGUGGCUAGCAAGUGUGCUCAUGGUUGGCUGGAAGCAGAGCUGGGACUAUGACCAGGAGUUCUGGUUCUCCUCCCUAUGACCUCUCCACGUGGAUUACUGGGCUCCUCUCAGUGUGAAAGCUGAUUUCCAACAAAGAGCAUUCCAAAAUUAAGAGUUCCCAGUGUUCAUAAGUGGUUGUAUAGUCUUCUCUUGCAUCACACUUGCUAAGCACCCACUGGGCAAAUCUAAUCACAUGGCCAAGACCUGAGUCAGUGGGGAUGGGGAUACACACGGCAAAAUACCAGGAGGCAUGCUUCAUUAAGGAUCAAUAAAAUAGCAAGUAAAUACA